UUAAAAUAUGGUCAAUGCAGGUGCUGUAUUUAUCAGUGUUAGCCUUUGUUUCAGGACAAAAUGAGCUGAUGUUUCUUAACAAACAUGACAUUUAAUUCAAGUGUUUUUUAAAGAUAUAUAAAAAUUAAUUUUUUCUUUCUGAGAAUAUCACCAUUGAAAAAACUCAAGGUCUGGUAGGCAGCUUUCUAAAACGGUUCAAUAAUUCCCUUGUGUCCCCUUGCGUAUGGGCUGGAUCUACUGUCUUGCUUCUAACAAAUAGAAUAUGGCUAAAGUGAUGGGAAGCCACUUCCAUUACUAGGUUACAAAAGGUUGUUAUGUCUACCUUACUAACACUCUCUUUUGCUGGCAUUCUCUCUUGCCCUCUCAUAUCCUGGCUCUGAUAGAGUAAGCUACCAUAUUGUAAGACGUUCUAUGGAGAAGCCCACAUGGCAUAUAACUGAGGGUGGCCUCUCAGUCCAAGAGCCUGUGAGGAACUGAGUCCUGCCAACCUUCCCCAUCAAGCCUUGAGAUGACGUCAGCCCAGUGAGAGACCCAGAACCAGAGGACUCAUCUAAGCCAUGCCUGAUUUCCUGGCCCACUGAAACUGAAAAGCACAAUGGAGUAUGAAUGACAGUAAACAUUUCCGAAUGGAUAAAAAAACGAAUAUUGGCUGGGCGCGGUGGCUCACGCCUGUAAUCCCAGCACUUUGGGAGGCCAAGGCUGGCGGAUCACUCAAGGUCAAGAAUUCAAGACCAGCCAAGCUAAUGGGGAGAAACCUUUUCUCUACUAAAAAUACACGCAUGGUGGCGCAUGACUAUAAUCGCAGCUACUUGGGAAGCUGAGGCAUAAGAAUCACUUGACCUGGGAGGCGAGGGUUGCAGUGAGCCGAGAUCAUGUCACUGCACUCCAGCCUGGGUGACAGAGCAAGACUCUGUCUGAAAAAAAAAAAAAAAAAAAUGAAUAUGGAAAGUACCCUGACCAUGUAUGGUACCCAUAGCAUCAACAUUUAAUAAACAUUAAAAGUCACAAUGCAUGUACAGACUGAUAAUCUAAAAAUAAUUGCUAGUAGAGACAGAGACAAACAGAACUGUCAUUAUUACUCGAAGAUACCAAAGUAAGGAUAUAACAAACAGAGUAUAUCUCACACUCCUGAGACAAUAAAGUGUGGCAGAAUCACUGAAUACUGCUAAAACAUAGGAACGUUUCUACAAAAAGCCUGCAAGGUAGAUACAUUUAUUGUGCUGCCAUAAACCUGCCCCCUAAAUGACUUAUUAAUACCCACAGCUAAUACUUAGAAACUCAGAUUCAAUAAAUUAGCAGUGAAUUACAGAGAAAACAAUCACAUGAUAUCUGUAGUCCCAUUUAAAUAAAGCUCCACCAUGAAGGAAGCCUGCAAAGGAAGCUGGCAGUGAUUCUGAAGCAGCAGCAGCAGCAAUCCAUAAAGCCUUCUUAAUUUUCUCGUCAUUUAAGAAUUAAACCACUUCCAGUUCACACAGAUACUACCAGGUGCACUAAAUUGAUGUCAUUAUCAGCCAUCAGGAAAUACCCACUGAGACCUAUACCAACACUGAGAAGUUUUGUUAAACAGCUGUGUGUUUUAAUUGAUUUGUAUUAUUUAAAAUAGAAACAGUUAAAAGUCAGUUAUCGGAUGUUGUGUAAAAGAGAUGCCUAAAGACUCCAGGGAGACUGAGUUCAGAAGAAAGCCAAUCACUGGAACUUCACUUGAGCACUUAAGAUUAUUACUAGAGGAAGCACAAUUAAAUCAUCAGUUUAUCAGCCAUCAUUAUAAAUCACCAGGCAACAUAUCAAGCUUCAUUAUUUAAGAAUCCUUAACCAGUGACUUCCUGCAUCACUGAGAGUCAAAAGCAAUCUAUUCACCAAAAGGCAUUCCGAAGUCUUCAAAAGGAACUCAGUGGUAUUUGGGAUAUGCAAAAUGUGUGCUGCACAGGCUUCUCCUAUUCCACUCUGUACAAACAUUUAAACUUACUCUUAUAUAGUAUUAAAUACUUGCAUGGUAGGACGAAAUGAGGAAAAUAAUCAACGAGUUUCUUCCCACUUUUAUCCCUCCAACCCCAUUCAUUCACUUGUACUUUCCUUUCCCAGACAUAUGGAAUCAGAAAAUAAAGAACCUCCAAAGUUUUGGUUUCCAAAUUUAAGCACAUAGUUCAAGUGUUAGAAAGAAUAUAUUUAAAAGGAGAUAAGAUACAGAUUGAGUUUCAUAUACAACUCUCUCUCCUCAGAGCUGGGAAGGAAAGCAGGGGCUUAGAGAGAGGCAAUUUUGAAAAGCCAUUUCCCAAGAGGGGCAUGUGUAUGUGUACGUGCUCAUGUGUGUGCAUAUACAUGCGUACAAAAUAACACAACACAAUAGAAUCUCUUGUGGUUUGGAAAUUUGAGAAUAGAGAGGAUAUGGUUCUAGUACACAGUAGGUUUCAUGAAGAAAAGUCCCUUCCAUCAUCAUCAUUAUAUUUAGGCAGCUGUAAAACAGGAGGGGCAGCCAGACUUUUCUGAGCAUAGAAGGACUGCAGACAGCCACCUGAUGUUUCUGCAGCCCUGUUGCGGUAGCAGAAAAGAGUGAGGUGUAGUAGGGCUGACUUAUUCAUUAGACAGAGUAGGCAUGGUGCCUGGGGUCUACAAUACCUUUAGGAAUCCAUGAAAAUAUUUUAAUUGCUUUUUAAAAAAUAAAAUAAUAAACUUGUAGGUCAAAGAAAGUAUUUUAAUAUAUAGUAUGAAUACAGUCAUCUCUCUAAUAAUGCAGCUAUAAAAUAUAAUUUUAAUACCUUUUUAUGGAGAAAGGAGUCCGUUAAGGUAAAUGUAUCUAAGGCCCACAAAAGUCAGGAUGUGGUCCUAGAAAGCAAAGGUUUGAUGAGAGAGACAGCGAGGGUGACAGAGAUGAGGAGAAAGAG
rnacentral:lncRNA from 10 species